rnacentral:rRNA from 1 species
AAAUUGCAGUUGAUACUGUCAGUCUUGAGUACAGUAGAGGUGGGCGGAAUUCGUGGUGUAGCGGUGAAAUGCUUAGAUAUCACGAAGAACUCCGAUUGCGAAGGCAGCUCACUGGACUGCAACUGACACUGAUGCUCGAAAGUGUGGGUAUCAAACAGGAUUAGAUACCCUGGUAGUCCACACAGUAAACGAUGAAUACUCGCUGUUUGCGAUAUACAGUAAGCGGCCAAGCGAAAGCAUUAAGUAUUCCACCUGGGGAGUACGCCGGCAACGGUGAAACUCAAAGGAAUUGACGGGGGCCCGCACAAGCGGAGGAACAUGUGGUUUAAUUCGAUGAUACGCGAGGAACCUUACCCGGGCUUAAAUUGCAGUGGAAUGAUGUGGAAACAUGUCAGUGAGCAAUCACCGCUGUGAAGGUGCUGCAUGGUUGUCGUCAGCUCGUGCCAUGAGGUGUCGGCUUAAGUGCCAUAACGAGCGCAACCCUUAUCUUCAGUUACUAACAGGUCAUGCUGAGGACUCUGGAGAGACUGCCGUCGUAAGAUGUGAGGAAGGUGGGGAUGACGUCAAAUCAGCACGGCCCUUACGUCCGGGGCUACACACGUGUUACAAUGGGGGGUACAGAAGGCAGCUAGCGGGUGACCGUAUGCUAAUCCCAAAAUCCUCUCUCAGUUCGGAUCGAAGUCUGCAACCCGACUUCGUGAAGCUGGAUUCGCUAGUAAUCGCGCAUCAGCCACGGCGCGGUGAAUACGUUCCCGGGCCUUGUACACACCGCCCGUCAAGCCAUGGGAGCCGGGGGUACCUGAAGUACGUAACCGCAAGGAUCGUCCUAGGGUAAAACUGGUGACUGGGGCUAAGUCGUAACAAGGUAACCA